ensembl:ncRNA T01C1.8 ncRNA
CCCUGCUCAUACUCUCACUUUUACAUAAUAAGUAUUAAUAAUUAAUGAGUUCGGAGGGCGAAAGAGUAAGAUUAAGUGCUAGAUUUGAUGUUUUCCAAGCUUUGGGGAAAAACGGGGGCAGGAGCGCAUCCUUUAGGC